rnacentral:rRNA from 1 species
CACAGCGGGUGGGAGCAUGUGGUUUAGUUCGAUGCAACGCGAAGAACCUUACCUACUCUUGACAUCCAGAGAACUUUCCAGAGAUGGAUUGGUGCCUUCGGGAACUCUGAGACAGGUGCUGCAUGGCUGUCGUCAGCUCGUGUUGUGAAAUGUUGGGUUAAGUCCCGCAACGAGCGCAACCCUUAUCCUUUGUUGCCAGCGGUUAGGCCGGGAACUCAAAGGAGACUGCCAGUGAUAAACUGGAGGAAGGUGGGGAUGACGUCAAGUCAUCAUGGCCCUUACGAGUAGGGCUACACACGUGCUACAAUGGCGCAUACAAAGAGAAGCGACCUCGCGAGAGCAAGCGGACCUCAUAAAGUGCGUCGUAGUCCGGAUUGGAGUCUGCAACUCGACUCCAUGAAGUCGGAAUCGCUAGUAAUCGUGGAUCAGAAUGCCACGGUGAAUACGUUCCCGGGCCUUGUACACACCGCCCGUCACACCAUGGGAGUGGGUUGCAAAAGAAGUAGGUAGCUUAACCUUCGGGAGGGCGCUUACCACUUUGUGAUUCAUGACUGGGGUGAAGUCGUAACAAGGUAACCGUAGGGGAACCUGCGGCUGGACACCCUCCUUAAAA